rnacentral:lncRNA from 8 species
CUGCCUUCUAUUUGGUUCAGGACCUAUUUACUAAUGCGUUCCGAAUAGGCUACUGGCAACUACACAUCGCGUUACACUAAAGACUAUUUACCCCUAGCUGGUAAUACGAACAGGAGUGGAUCUGUGCGUGGAAACCUCAUGUGGCCCAUCUAAUUAAAAGGAGUUUAAUUCACACUCCAGGCUGUUAUUUAAAGACCAGAGGAUUGAGAAGACAGUUUCCCUGUCCUGAUGGAGGUCCGACCAAACGAACAUGCAAUAAUCCGCCCCAGUCGUCCAGGCUCAGCGGGCCCCAGAGCUGCAGCCCUCGGUCCCGGGACUCCAUGGCCUUUCAUCUCAAUGAGAUCAUGAAGAGGGUGGUCAGGUUGGUGCAUCAUGUCACUGACCAAUCUUACUGCUCCUUGCUCUCUGUGACUGCAAUAGUGGAAGAGUCAGUGGAAGGGUCGGUGGGAUAUCUCUGUUUUUUGCUUAAAUGUCUUACUCAUUUCGGCCACGGAGAACGAAAGCCCACAGUCCUCGGGAGCGGCCCGCAUCAUCUUGUGUCUGAGUCGUUGAAUUGAGACCCAUUUUCCGGAUUGACUGACCUUCAUGUCUUAAAGUAAUGAUGGACUGUUGUUUGUCUUUGCUUAUUUGAGCUGUUCUUGCCAUUAAAUGGACUUGGUCUUUUACCAAAUAGGCCUAUCUUCUGUAUACCACCCCUACCUUGUCACAACACAACUGAUGCUCAAACGCAUUAAAAAGGAAAGAAAUUCCCCAAAUGUACUUUUAACAAGGCACAACUGUUAAUUGAAAUGCAUUCCAGGUGACUAACUCAUGAAGCUGGUUGAGAGAAUGCCAAGAGUGUGCAAAGCUAUCAUCAAGGCAAAGGGUGGCUACUUUGAAGAAUCUCAAAUAUAAAAUAUAUUUUGAUUUGUUUAACACUUUUUGGUUUACUACAUGAUUCCAUGUGUGUUAUUUCAUAGUUUUGAUGUCUUCACUAUUAUUCUACAAUGUAGAAAAUAGUAAAAAUAGAGAAAAACCCUUGAAUGAGUAGGUGUGUCCAAACUUUUGACUGGUACUGUAUAUUAGAUAAAGAAGAAAAUCAUUGAAUAAAUGCCUUAUAGAUGACCAUUGGCUUAUAUAAUACCAUAUAACAACUACAUAUUUCAAAUUAAUGCAUUUCAAGUGUUCCCCUUGCCCACUUUAGACACAGUGCCUUCAGAAAGUAUCUACACUUCUUGACUUUUUCCACAUUUUGUUGUGUUACAGCCUGAAUUUAAAAUUUAUUAAAUUGAGAUUGUGUGUCGUUGAUCUUCACCAUCAUGUCAAAGUGGAAUUAUGUUUUUAGAAAUGUUUACAAAUUAAUAAAAUAUGAAAAUAUGAAA